rnacentral:rRNA from 1 species
AGGAUGAACGCUAGCGGGAGGCCUAACACAUGCAAGCCGAGCGGUAUUUAUUCUUCGGAAUAGAGAGAGCGGCGUACGGGUGCGUAACACGUGUGCAACCUACCUUUAUCAGGGGAAUAGCCUUUCGAAAGGAAGAUUAAUACUCCAUAAUAUAUUGAAUGGCAUCAUUUGAUAUUGAAAACUCCGGUGGAUAGAGAUGGGCACGCGCAAGAUUAGAUAGUUGGUGAGGUAACGGCUCACCAAGUCAAUGAUC